ACGAACAGACAGACAUGGCUAUGUUGACUCGGCUAUUGAUGCUGAUCAAGAAUAUAUAUACUUCCUUCUGUGUGUUACCUUUUUUCCCAAAAAUACAAUAUACCCUAUUUACUCUUCGAGUACCGGGUAUAAAAUCAGCCAGGGCAUACGGUACAUAAAUGGCACUAGGACUGGUACUGCGACGAAUGAAUAAAUUGAAUGCCUUUUCAAUGCCAAUAUUUUAAAUGGGCAGGGGAAAAGGAAAAAAAAGGGAGAAAACAACAACCAAUUGUGACGCGUCUAGCGGAAACGGAAGCGUUCACUUGUACUACAGUGCGAUAAAAACAAAG
rnacentral:lncRNA from 1 species